AGAGACGAAAAAUAAAAAGAGAGGAAAAGAAGGAAAAAGAUAAGAAACAGGGAGGAUAACAUAUAGAAGACAAAGAGAUAAAACAAAGAAACAAAGAAAAAGAGGGGAGGAGACAUACAUGACAGACUACUCUUUAGUUUUCCUUUACCAUUCACACACGCACAAUGCAAAAGAAAAUACAAGUUCAUCUUCCUUCUUUUCUCCACCAGUAAACAUUCCCAUUACCAUCGUAACCUUCAUCAUAUUUUUUCCCUUUUUCUGAAACAGCCCAAAACAGCCAGUACUAAGGUGGAGUUAAUCGAGGCGGAAAAGUUUCAUGGUCGGGGUUCAUCGAGUUCAUGGAGGUUUCAAAUACCAAAAUUUAAAUGAAGCAUAUUUAAUAUUAUACCCCAAAAUAUCGAUAAUUUUAUUUUGAUAGCUCUCAUGCAUUUCAAGGUGAUUUCUAAGUUGAAUAAUGAUAAGGAAUGCUAAUUGGAUGAUUAGAAAGUGUUUUGAAAUUUUUGGAAUGAGAUUCGGGAUAUUUCGGGACCUUGAAAUAGUAAAUGUCUGUUUGGAUGAUGGUUUCCCAUGGUAUGGUAUGGUAUGGUUAUCAAGAGAAUCAUGUUUGUUUUGAUUAUUUUCUAAAAGGCAUGGUAUGGU
rnacentral:lncRNA from 1 species